rnacentral:rRNA from 1 species
CGCGUAGGCGGCUAUAUAAGUCAGGUGUGAAAUUCCGCAUCUCAAAUGCGGAGCUGCACUUGAAACUAUAUGACUAGAGGUUAGACGGAGAAAAUAGAAUUCCACAAGUAGCGGUGAAAUGCGUAGAUAUGUGGAGGAAUACCGGUGGCGAAGGCGGUUUUCUAGUCUAUACCUGACGCUGAGGCGCGAAAGCGAGGGGAGCAAACAGGAUUAGAUACCCUGGUAGUCC